rnacentral:pre_miRNA from 1 species
GACAUACUCCCUCCGUCCGAAAAUACUUGUCAUCAAAAUGGAUAAAAAGAGAUGUAUCUAGAACUAAAAUACAUCUAGAUACAUCCCCUUUUAUUCAUUUUGAUGAAAAGUAUUUCCGGACGGAGGGAGUAUUUU